AGAAGUAGUAGUAUAAAACAGUGGAAGAUGGAGGCAGAAUCUAGGGUUUGGGAUUGCUGGGAUUGGAGUGGGAGGAGUUGAAUUAGCGAAGAAGUAAUCGAUGUCGAAGGCAGUUUCAGAAUCUAUUGAUAUUAGGGCUUACGAUGUUUUCCUCAGUUUUAGAGGAGAAGACACUAGACGCAGUUUCACGGGUAAUCUCUACAAUUAUUUGGAGAAAAGGGGAAUCCAUACCUUCAUUGGCGACUACGAUUUUGAGAGUGGAGAGGAAAUCAAAGCAUCACUUUCGGAGGCGAUUGAACGUUCAAGAGUUUUCGUUAUAGUGUUCUCCGAGAACUAUGCUUCUUCUUCUUGGUGCUUAGAUGAACUUGUACGUAUCCUUGACUUCACCGAGGAUAACCAUCGACCGGUUAUUCCAGUUUUCUAUUACGUUGAUCCGUCCGAUGUGAGACAUCAGAAGGGGAUCUAUGGAGAAGCACUGGCUAUGCAUGAGAGAAGACUCAACCACGAGUCGUACAAAGUCAUGAAAUGGAGGAACGCACUGCGUCAAGCUGCUACUUUGUCCGGUUGGCCUUUCAAACAUGGCGAUGGAUAUGAAUACGAGUUGAUUGAGAAGAUUGUGGAGGACAUUUCCAACAAGAUUAAGAUUAGUCGACCUGUUGUGGAUCGCCCAGUUGGCCUCGAGUAUCGAAUGCUUGAAGUAAACUGGCUGCUGGAUGCCACAUCCCUUGCUGGAGUACAUGUGAUAGGGAUUUGUGGCAUGGGUGGCAUUGGAAAAACAACACUUGCCCGUGCUGUAUACCAUUCCGCUGCUGGCCACUUUGAUACCUCGUGUUUCCUUGGUAACGUCAGGGAAAAUGCUAUGAAGCAUGGCUUAGUGCAUCUCCAGCAAACCCUGCUUGCUGAGAUAUUCCGUGAGAACAAUAUUCGUCUGACAAGUGUCGAGCAAGGAAUUUCACUAAUAAAGAAGAGGCUCCACAGGAAGAGGCUUCUUUUGGUUCUUGACGAUGUCCGUGAGCUAGAGGACUUGCAGGCUCUUGUUGGAAGUCCUGAUUGGUUUGGCCCUGGCAGCAGAGUCAUCAUUACCACUAGAGACAGACAGUUGCUUAAAGCCCAUGGGGUUGACAAGGUAUACGAGGUAGAAGUUUUGGCCAACGGUGAAGCUCUCAAAUUGCUUUGUUGGAAGGCCUUCAGAACCGACAGAGUUCAUCCAGAUUUCAUUAGUAAAUUAAACCGUGCAAUCGCUUUUGCUUCUGGCAUUCCUUUGGUUCUUGAACUUAUAGGUUCAAGCUUGUAUGGUAGAGGAAUAGAAGAAUGGGAAUCUACUUUGGAUCAGUAUGAAAAAAAUCCUCAUAGAGACAUACACAUGGCACUUAAAAUAUCCUUCGAUGCUCUGAGUUACCUCGAGAAGGAGGUUUUUCUAGACAUUGCAUGUUUCUUCAAUGGAUUUGAAUUAGCAGAGAUCGAGCAUAUACUUGGUGCACAUCACGGUUGCUGUUUGAAAAUUCAUAUUGGAGCAUUGGUGGAAAAAUCUCUUAUAAUGAUUGACGAGCAUGGCUGUGUUCAGAUGCAUGAUUUGAUGCAACAAAUGGGUAGAGAAAUUGUUCGACAGGAAUCACAGGAGCACCCUGGCAAACGCAGUAGGUUAUGGUCUACUGAGGAUAUAGUUCGUGUUUUAGAAGAUAACACAGGAACAUCUAAAAUCCAAAGUAUAAUUCUGGAUUUCUCCAAAUCUGAAGAAGUGGUACAAUGGGAUGGAAUGGCCUUCGUGAAGAUGAUAAGCCUCAGAACACUUAUUAUCAGAAAGGAGUGUUUUUCCAAAGGUCCAAAAAAACUUCCAAAUAGCUUAAGAGUGCUGGAGUGGUGGGGCUAUCCCUCAAAGUCUUUACCAUCCGAUUUUAAGCCAGAGAAACUAGCUAUACUGAAGUUACCCUAUAGUGGCUUUAUGUCACUUGAGUUGCCAAACUUUUUGCAUAUGAGAGUUUUGAAUUUUGACAGGUGUAAAUUUUUAACACGGACACCUGAUUUAUCUGGUGCCCCAAUUUUAAAAGAAUUAUCUUCUGUUUUUUGUGAGAAUUUAGUUGAAAUUCAUGAUUCGGUUGGAUUCCUAGAUAAACUUGAAAUCAUGAACUUUGAGAGUUGUAGCAAGCUUGAGACUUUUCCACCAAUCAAGUUGACCUCUCUUGAAAGCAUCAACUUUUCGUAUUGUUCAAGUCUUGUGAGUUUUCCUGAAAUAUUAGGAAAGAUGGAAAACAUAACGCAUCUUUCUUUGGAGUACACUGCCAUAAGUAAAUUACCAAAUUCAAUUAGAGAACUUGUCCGACUUCAAAGUUUAGAACUGCACAACUGUGGAAUGGUUCAGUUACCGAGUAGCAUUGUCACAUUGCGAGAACUUGAGGUGUUGAGUAUUUGCCAAUGUGAAGGGUUGCGAUUUUCAAAACAGGACGAAGAUGUGAAAAAUAAGAGCUUACUGAUGCCCUCUUCAUAUUUGAAACAAGUCAAUUUAUGGUCCUGCAGUAUAUCUGAUGAAUUCAUUGAUACAGGACUCGCUUGGUUUGCCAAUGUGAAAAGCUUAGAUCUUUCAGCAAAUAAUUUUACAAUUCUUCCUUCAUGCAUCCAAGAAUGUCGCCUUUUGAGGAAACUAUAUUUGGACUACUGUACGCAUCUUCAUGAAAUUAGGGGGAUUCCACCCAAUUUAGAAACAUUAUCUGCAAUUCGGUGCACAUCCUUGAAAGAUUUAGACCUUGCAGUUCCUCUUGAAUCCACCAAAGAAGGUUGCUGUUUGAGACAACUUAUUUUGGAUGAUUGUGAGAAUCUUCAAGAAAUUAGAGGGAUUCCACCAAGCAUAGAGUUUUUGUCUGCAACAAACUGCAGAUCCUUGACUGCCUCAUGUAGGAGAAUGCUACUGAAACAGGAGUUGCAUGAGGCUGGAAAUAAGAGAUAUUCUUUGCCAGGAACAAGGAUUCCAGAAUGGUUUGAGCACUGCAGCAGGGGACAAUCAAUUUCCUUUUGGUUUCGUAACAAGUUCCCAGUAAUAUCUCUCUGUCUUGCUGGACUCAUGCAUAAGCACCCUUUUGGACUUAAACCUAUUGUGUCCAUUAAUGGCAAUAAAAUGAAGACCGAGUUUCAAAGGAGAUGGUUUUAUUUCGAGUUCCCAGUAUUAACUGAUCAUAUACUUAUAUUUGGUGAAAGGCAGAUUAAAUUUGAAGAUAAUGUGGAUGAAGUAGUUUCAGAAAAUGAUUGGAAUCAUGUAGUGGUCUCUGUUGAUGUUGAUUUCAAAUGGAACCCAACAGAGCCGCUUGUUGUGCGGACUGGACUCCAUGUAAUCAAACCAAAAAGUAGCGUGGAAGAUAUUCGAUUCAUUGAUCCUUAUAAACCCACCUUCUUAUAAAGAAAAACAUAAUAUUAGAUGACUUGGGAGUCUCAAAGACCAUUUGUGUGACGCAAAAAGAAUUGGCAUCAUUUGAUUCAUUGCUACCACAUUAACAAAGUGGUGGAGACUGGAGAGUGAUUUUCGUUGCUUCAACCCUCUAGCAUUAAAAGAUAAUGUGAAUUGGGAUUCAACUUUGAUGGCAUCAUGCAUCCCAGAUGAGUAGUACAGCUGGUGUUCAAUAUUGCUAUUGAUGGAGGCAAGCAAUUGUUGGCAUUAAUUUCUCCUUUUGUUAUGAAUUACUUGGUAAGUUUAUGGAGAUUGAGUUUUUCACCAUAAGAUCCACACUGAGGUGGCUUUUGGUAGGGGGAGAAGUUUUUAGUUUGAUGAGAACCAUAGAUUGGAAAUCUUCGUUUCCUAUGUUCGGUAUCUAUUUUAAAAAAAGACAUUCCUGGUAAAGAAGUUUUCCCGGGAAUGAUUUUUAAUUAAGUUUCUCACAAAAACUUUCCCAUGAAACUUUCCCAUGGGAGAGGUGGGAAUCUUUUGAGUUAAUUUUUUUUUCUUAUAUAGUAAAAAUUAUUAUGUUACUCUUAUUAGAUUAUUUAAUGUGGUUAAUAAUUAAAGUAAUUGACAAAAAUAUCACAUAACUCUUUGAUUCUCAUUAAA